CACACGCACACGCCUUAGCACACGCACACACGCGCGCACGCACACUGCUCCUAGCAGCGCCUCUCGCCAGACCGUGGGGCGACGUCCCCCUCGGAGGGGCGGCGGCCCUGCCCCGCCCGAAGCAGCCCCGCAAAGGGACAGAGAGUCACUGGGGGUUCUGGAGCGCGUGGGCCGCGAUCGAAGACGCACGGCGGCAGGUGGCAGCAGGGGCUUCUCAGUGGAGGGCGUGUAGCGGCGGGAGGGGACAGCGUGGGUCUGGAAAGGGAGUGGUGCAGACCUUGGUAGCUCUUUCCCGCUGUCACGGGGAACUCGCCUUGGAGAGGGCACUCGCAUUGCCAGGUUGGGGCUGUCCGCGCGCGCGCAUGGGGACCCGGCUGGCAGGAGGGCAGCUGAGGGACCCUACGCCGCCGCGGGGCACGAGCGCGGGCCCUCUCCCAGCACGCCUGCAGAGGGCGCCCUCACGGUGGCGCCCCGCGGGGCCAGGCGGCCAUCCCCAGAGCAGCAAGGUUAGGUCCUUACGAAAGGGUAGGAAUGGUUCGAUCACUCUAGUCACCAUCUUGGGCCGUGAGACCCAGCAGUCAGCAAUCAUCCCCGCUACCGGAAGACGCCAGGGUGCAGGAUGCAAAGGGAGAUAGCCUGAUGGCCAAGUAGUUCUGCGGGGCCAUAUCAUCAUUGCCUCCACAACAGAGAUCGGCGCACUAUGGUUGUGCAGCUCCUUGACCCCAAGGUACAUCCACAGCGCCCACCCGCGGCCCCAAAGCACCUGGAGAGCACGUCUUAGGGGUUAACCAGCCACACCAACCUGAGACGCCCUGCAGCUGCCAAAACCCGGACCCGAAGCCCAGAACGUGGGACCCAAUUCAGUGGUUUUCCUCAUCCAUCCAACCAUGCAUCCAUCCAUCAUUGCAUGCUUGCAUGCAUGCAUGCAUGCAUACCAUACAAAUCGGUGGACAGAAGCGCGGAGAGUUCUUUGCCCAGCUAUGGGCUGAGAACGGGCGCCCCCUUUGCAGCUCUUUCGCCUCCUGCUCACCCAAGACCCCCUCCGCAAGGGAGAACAGCUCAAUUACGAAAGGAGCAAAGAAACGAAAUACUGGGCUCAAACGCCCUGCCCACAGGAGCUUCUCCGGUCCCCCCCUUUCUGCUGCACGUUCCCCACCCCCACUGUCCCCAGCUCAGGGGCGGGCGGGGAGACGGCGGUGCGAGGGGUCCUGCCCAGCUCCGCGUGAACAAAGCCCGCCGCGGGAGCUCGUGGCCGCGCUCAGAGCGGGUGACAAAGGCAGGCAGGCGGUGCCAAGCUCCAAGGCAGCGCUCGGAUGGCCAGGCGGGAAGCAGGCCCCGAAGAUGGGUGGUGCGAUUUGCACCCAGAUUUUUCUGGACUUCCGUGUUUCUCUCCUGGGUGCCCAGAGACCUGUUGGGUGACUCAGCGUUUAUCUCUCUGGUCCUGCAACCUCACCAGCCUCCCACUUGUCUUAUGCCUGCCCCAGUUUCGUCCAUCUCGCCCGGCUUUUUUCUCCACCGCACUCCUUUCACCCUUCUUGCUUUGAGGGUUAGGCUUUCCCCCCUUUUCUUUUCCGUGGUAAAAGCAACGAUAACUGGACUUCUGCAGACUUCCCUGUGUUCAAAUAACAUUCUGAAAGACCUUUCUGGUUAUUUGCUGGCAAAAAUGUGUGUGGGGGGGAGCCUUUUGAUUUUAUUAUGCAAACUGCACUCUAAAUAAAAUAAAAUGCCCUUAGAAUGCGAUCUAAGAAAGACAGACUUAGCCCUGAGGCCGAACAGAUUCCUGCUGAAUUCGGCAAGUAUCCCUGUCGGCUCCCACAAAUCACAUAAAUGGCAGGGGGCGGGGGUAGGGCAGAAUGGGAGAUCGAGUCUCUGGGGCAAACCUUUCUGGAAAAAAAGUUCUAAUCUUGCUUUCUAAUCCUGAAUGGGAAUUGCUGCCAAGACUCUACCAAUAAAAUCGUACGUUUUUUUUUUUAA